rnacentral:lncRNA from 1 species
UUAGUAGAGAUGGGUUUUUGCCAUCUUGGCCAGGCUGGUCUUGAACUCCUGACCUCAGGUGAUCCACCUGCCUUGGCCUCCCAAAGUGCUGGGAUUACAGGCAUGAGCCACUGCGCCCGGCCAUGGACCUGGCUGUCUUUAUCAUCCCCACAAACAUUUUGAAACUGGAAUAUUUGUCUUCAGAAAAUGGAAACAAGACUAUAAAUGAUAAGCCCUGUCCCUAGCACCACCUCUCCUGUGUGUGGAAUAGAGGCCCCUCGUGCUACCAACACUUACCCUGUGUUUAAAAAGAUCUUGUACCAAGCCAACGGCGUUCCUGGCUCUCCUGCCCACAGGAUGAACAUUUUCGGCUUCCUUAGGAGUUUUGCCCUACCGUAUUCCAAAGCGUGUGCUGGUUUCUCAUAUUGUCUGUAGGCUCACUCAGCCCGCAGUUUAUGUGUGUGCUUUUUUCUAUGAAAAAUGAUGUAUUUUGCUACUUCCUGUGUACAAAGUUUUAUUGUAAAUGUUUUUUGUGCUUUGCAUGAACAGGGGCCACGUUGUUGCAAUUGUUUCAGUAGAACUGGUUUGAUUUCUAAAAUGUUCCUGUAACAUAUCUUUUAUGAACAAAUCUGAACAAUUUGUGAAAUAAAACAUUGAAAACCAUCU